UGCAAGUCGAGCGGCAGCGGGAAAGUAGCUUGCUACUUUUGCCGGCGAGCGGCGGACGGGUGAGUAAUGCCUGGGGAUCUGCCCAGUCGAGGGGGAUAACUACUGGAAACGGUAGCUAAUACCGCAUACGCCCUACGGGGGAAAGCAGGGGACCUUCGGGCCUUGCGCGAUUGGAUGAACCCAGGUGGGAUUAGCUAGUUGGUGAGGUA
rnacentral:rRNA from 1 species